rnacentral:lncRNA from 1 species
AUGUCCACAGAUCUAGAAAUUCCAACUCUGUUAUUUAGUAGCUGCAUAACCUUAAAUAGGAACAGAGACCAAAUUGCCAAUAUCUGCUGGAUCAUUGAAAAAGCAAGAGAGUUCCAGAAAAACAUCUAUUUCUGCUUUAUUGACUAUGCCAAAGCCUUUGACUGUGUGGAUCACAAUAAACUGGGGAAAAUUCUGAAAGAGAUGGGAAUACCAGACCACCUGACCUGCCUCUUGAGAAACCUAUAUGCAGGUCAGGAAGCAACAGUUAGAACUGGACAUGGAACAACAGACUGGUUCCAAAUAGGAAAAGGAGUACAUCAAAGCUGUAUAUUGUCACCCUGCUUAUUUAACUUAUAUGCAGAGUACAUCAUGAGAAACCCUGGGCUGGAAGAAGCACGGACUGGAAUCAAGAUUGCCAGGAGAAAUAUCAAUCACCUCAGAUAUGCAGAUGACACCACCCUUAUGACAGAAAGUGAAGAGGAACUAAAAAGCCUCUUGAUGAAAGUGAAAGAGGAGAGUGAAAAAGUUGGCUUAAAACUCAACAUUCAGAAAACGAAGAUCGUGGCAUCUGGUCCCAUCACUUCAUGGGAAAUAGAUGGGGAAACAGUGGACACAGUGUCAGACUUUAUUUUUUGGGGCUCCAAAAUCACUGCAGGUGGUGAUUGCAGCCAUGAAAUUAUAAAACGCUUACUCCUUGGAAGGAAAGUUAUGAUGAACCUAGACAGCAUAUUAAAAAGCAGAGACAUCACUUUGUCAACAAAGGUCCGUCUAGUCAAGGCUAUUGUUUUUCCAGUGGUCAUGUGUGGAUGUGAGAGUUGGACUAUAAAGAAAGCUGAGCACGGAAGACUUGGUACUUUUGAACUGUGGUGUUGGAGAAGACUCUUGAGAGUCCCUUGGACUGCAAGGAGAUCCAACCAGUCCAUCCUAAAGGAGAUCAGUCCUGGGUGUUCAUUGGAAGGACUGAUGUUGAAGCUGAAACUCCAAUACUUUGGCCACCUGAUGCAAACAGCUGACUCAUUUGAAAAGACACCAAUGAUGGCUUUGAGGGCAGGAGGAGAAGGGGACGACAGAGGAUAA